AGUCGAGGGGUAACGACUCCGUCUUCGGAUGGAGGUCGACGACCGGCGCACGGGUGAGUAACGCGUAUGCAACCUACCUUUUACAGGAGGAUAGCCCAGAGAAAUUUGGAUUAAUACUCCAUAGUACUAAUGAAUCACCUGGUUUAUUAGUUAAAACUCCGGUGGUAAAAGAUGGGCAUGCGUGUCAUUAGCUAGUUGGUAAGGUAACGGCUUACCAAGGCGAAGAUGACUAGGGGUUCUGAGAGGAAGAUCCCCCACACUGGUACUGAGACACGGACCAGACUCCUACGGGAGGCAGCAGUGAGGAAUAUUGGUCAAUGGGUGAGAGCCUGAACCAGCCAUGCCGCGUGAAGGAAGACUGCCCUAUGGGUUGUAAACUUCUUUACUGCAGGAAGACAUCACUCUACGUGUAGGGUGUUGCCGGUACUGCAGGAAUAAGCAUCGGCCUAACUCCGUGCCAGCAGAACGCGGUAAUACGGAGGAUGAAAGCGUUAUCCGGAUAUAUUGAGUUAAAAGGGUGCGUAGGCAGGCUUGUACGUCAAUGGUGAAAUGCUGAGGCUAUAACCAUAGAAUUGCCAUUGAAACUGCAAGUCUUGAGUACAGUUGAAGUGGGCGGAAUGAGUAAUGUAGCGGUGAAAUGCAUCGAUAUAACUCGGAACUCCGAUUGCGUAGGCAGCGUGCUAACUGGAACUGGACGCUGAUGCACGUUAGCCUUUGGUUCGAACAGGAUUAGAUACCCUGGUAGUCCACGCGGUGAUCGAUGUAGCACUGGUUUGUUGGCAAUACACCGUCAGCGACUGAGCGAAGGUAUUAAGUGCUCCACCUGGGGAGUACGUCUGGCAACGAUGAAACUCAAAGGAAUUGACGGGGGCCCUGCACAAGCGGAGGUACAUGUGGUUUAAUUCGAUGAUACGCGAGGAACCUUACCUGGGCUUAAAUGUAGAGUGCAUUGUUUGGAUACAGACAUUUUCUUCGGGACUCUUUACAAGGUGCUGCAUGGUUGUCGUCAGCUCGUGCCGUGAGGUGUCGGGUUAAGUCCCAUAACGAGCGCAACCCCUAUUGUUAGUUACCAGCACGUUAUGGUGGGGACUCUAGCAAGACUGCCGGUGUAAACCGUGUAGGAAGGUGGGGAUGACGUCAAAUUAGCACGGCCCUUUAUGUCCAGGGCUACACACGUGUUACAAUGGCAAGUACAAAGAGCAGCCACCUGGCGACAGGGCGCUAAUCUCAAAAGCUUGCCUCAGUUCGGAUCGAAGUCUGCAACUCGACUUCGUGAAGGUGGAUUCGCUAGUAAUCGCGCAUCAGCCAUGGCGCGGUGAUACGUUCCCGGGCAUGUACACACCGCCCGUCAAGCCAUGGAAGCCGGGGGUACCUGAAGUCCGUAACC
rnacentral:rRNA from 1 species